GGUGGCGACCAAAGCGGCUGGGAACCACCCGUACCCAUACCGAACACGGAAGUGAAACCAGCCAGCGUACUUCCGAGUACUGCAGCGCAUGCUGUGGGAAAGGAAGUGCGUCGCCACCC
rnacentral:rRNA from 1 species